rnacentral:rRNA from 1 species
UACGGGGGGAGCAAGCGUUGUUCGGAUUUACUGGGCGUAAAGGGCGCGUAGGCGGCCAGCGCAAGUCAGUUGUGAAAUCUCCGAGCUUAACUCGGAAAGGUCAACUGAUACUGUGCGACUAGAGUGCGGAAGGGGCAACUGGAAUUCUUGGUGUAGCGGUGAAAUGCGUAGAUAUCAAGAGGAACACCUGCGGCGAAGGCGGGUUGCUGGGCCGACACUGACGCUGAAGCGCGAAAGCCAGGGGAGCGAACGGG